CGCAAGCCUGACGGAGCAAGACCGCGUGCGGGAUGACGGCCUAAUGGUUGUAAACCGCUUUUCUCUGGGAAGAUGAUGACGGUACCAGAGGAAUCAGCCUCGGCUAACUCCGUGCCAGCAGCCGCGGUAAUACGGAGGAGGCAAGCGUUAUCCGGAAUUAUCGGGCGUAAAGCGUCCGUAGGUGGUUAUUCAAGUCUGCUGUCAAAGCGUGGGGCUUAACUCCAUAGAGGCAGUGGAAACUGGAUGACUUGAGUGCGGUGGGGGUCGAGGGAAUUCCCAGUGUAGCGGUGAAAUGCGUAGAUAUUGGGAAGAACACCAGUGGCGAAAGCGCUCGACUGGGCCUGCACUGACACUGAGGGACGAAAGCUAGGGGAGCG
rnacentral:rRNA from 1 species